rnacentral:rRNA from 1 species
AUCAGCCCGCGUUGGAUUAGGUAGUUGGUGGGGUAAUGGCCUACCAAGCCGACGAUCCAUAGCUGGUUUGAGAGGAUGAUCAGCCACACUGGGACUGAGACACGGCCCAGACUCCUACGGGAGGCAGCAGUGGGGAAUAUUGGACAAUGGGCGCAAGCCUGAUCCAGCCAUGCCGCGUGGGUGAAGAAGGCCUUCGGGUUGUAAAGCCCUUUUGUUGGGAAAGAAAAGCAAUCGGUUAAUACCCGGUUGUUCUGACGGUACCCAAAGAAUAAGCACCGGCUAACUUCGUGCCAGCAGCCGCGGUAAUACGAAGGGUGCAAGCGUUACUCGGAAUUACUGGGCGUAAAGCGUGCGUAGGUGGUUUGUUAAGUCUGAUGUGAAAGCCCUGGGCUCAACCUGGGAAUUGCAUUGGAUACUGGCUGACUAGAGUGCGGUAGAGGGCAGUGGAAUUCCCGGUGUAGCAGUGAAAUGCGUAGAGAUCGGGAGGAACAUCUGUGGCGAAGGCGACUGCCUGGACCAGCACUGACACUGAGGCACGAAAGCGUG